rnacentral:tRNA from 1 species
UCCCUUGUAGCUAAGCCAGUAAAGAAUCUUCCUGCAAUGAAGGAGACCCAGGUUCAAUCCUUGGGUGGGGAA